AGCUUUGCGCAGUGACAGUAUCGUAGCCAAUGAAGUUUAUCCAAGGCAUGAUUAUUGCUAACAGAUAAAUUAGAUAGACUUUUUUACAUAUUCUAUGGCAGAAUAUAAUUUCAUGGUUAUUUCAGAUUUUUUCCAUAA